UGACCUUUUUGGCCCCUUUUGCCUCCCGUAGCCGCGAUUGCGCAACCCGGAAGAGAGACGCAACAGAAACGCAACGAGACGAACAAACACAAACACAAACGGACACACAGCGCAAUCUCCCGUGUGCACCCGAUCGAUCGGCUGGUGGAGUGAAGGUAAGUUAUGUGUGUGUGCGUGAAUAUGUGGGUGUACAGCUCUGCCGCAGGCCAGUGACAAACUCCUUUGUCACA
ensembl:processed_transcript